rnacentral:rRNA from 1 species
CCUACGGGUGGCAGCAGUGAGGAAUAUUGGUCAAUGGACGAGAGUCUGAACCAGCCAAGUAGCGUGAAGGAUGACUGCCCUAUGGGUUGUAAACUUCUUUUAUAUGGGAAUAAAACGUUCCACGUGUGGGAUUUUGUAUGUACCAUAUGAAUAAGGAUCGGCUAACUCCGUUCCAGCAGCCGCUGUAAUACGGAGGAUCCGAUCGUUAUCCGGAUUUAUUGGGUUUAAAGGGAGCGUAGGUGGAUUGUUAAGUCAGUUGUGAAAGUUUGCGGCUCAACCGUAAAAUUGCAGUGGAAACUGGCAGUCUUGAGUACAGUAGAGGUGGGCGGAAUUCGUGGUGUAGCGGUGAAAUGCUUAGAUAUCACGAAGAACUCCGAUUGCGAAGGCAGUUCACUGGACUGCAACUGACACUGAGGCUCGAAAGUGUGGGUAUCAAACAGGAUUAGAUACCCUGGUAGUC